GCUGAUCUCCCAGAACAGAGGAGUUUAAGUGACUUGCUGAGCUGCGGUUUGGAAAUGUCCUCUUUGUAUUCUGUUGUUUCAUCCAACUCAGUGACCAGGCAUGUGGCAGAUGUCCAUUGCUGAGUGGCAAGCUAAAGUUCCUGAAUGUGAACCUCAGUUUAGAUACCACCUGUUCUAGAUUUCCUCUUAGCAUUCUGAUGACCCUGCUGACCUGGAGUCCUCCAUACUGUCUGCCAGACAGAAUUGAAACUCAGACCACACACCAGAAAAGAGAGAGUGGGCCCUGGCUCCUGGCUUCCUGAGAUGGAGGAGAAAGUGUCUGGGGACAAAGCUGGCUGGUCGGGAGCGCUUCGGAAUUGAGGGCCAGCCAUGCAGCUCGGAGCCCGGCCAGCUGAGCCGGGGAAACGAGCCAGGUUCAGCUGCUUAGGUGCCGGCUAGGAGAAGUGAAGAGGUGGAUCUCGCUGAGGUUGGAAUUUUUCAAGAAGAGUAAAAUGAAGCGAGAAAGGAAAAGAGCACUGAAGGAGCAUGUAAGGGAGAAAUUAUUAUGUUGAAUUAUAGAUGCUAAGCUGGAUAGAGAUGGGAGGGAAGCCACAGCAAGGUGCUAUAGUGGGGAAUAGUGAAAAGGAGUAGGAUCUAUAGAUUGUAGGUCUUUGUGGGGUCAAAGACUUGUUGGAAUUGGAAUACCCAAACUGGAAAGAUAAGAGGUGGUGGUGAUCAGAAUUGGCAUGCUUGGAACUGAGAUGAGGUAGAAGUUGCAACUCUUGGUAAUAAUAAGGUGUAGGAUAUGACUAUGGGGAUGAGUGAUUACGUUGGGGUAUAAGACAAUAUCACUGGAGGGGAUGAGAUCAAGGAACACAAAAGCCAGGACAUGGGGAAGAACAGCUAUAUGAUUAUUGAAAUUAUGUCUCAGUGAAAUUAUUGAAUUAUAACUGAGAAUAAAAGUGAGAUACAGUCUCCAGGAAAUGAAAGAGCAUGACUUAAAAGUCAGUAGGUGACAGCAACAAUGAAAGGGUAGAGGGUAGUAUGGUCUGGCAACAUUAUUCAAAGUUGGGAGUUUUAGGAGGAAAGGGUAAGCGUGGUCACGAGACACUAGGAUGGGAAAGGAGAACAUUUACUUCACCUGGGUCUGUGGUACAAGGAGUUUGGAGGUAAGACAAAAACCGCUUGAGAGCAUUGCUGGGUAAGCAGCGCCCUGCCAAGAGAGUCAGAUUUCUGUUAGAAUAAGAAGGCAAAGGGACAGUACAAGAUUGAGGAUAUAUAGGAUUUGCUGAUGACUGCUCUGACUUUCAGAGGGAUACAGUGGUUGGGUCUCCUCAGGUAUUUCCUGAAGUCAAAGGCAUCAGAAAAUUGGAUAUAGAGAGCCAAGUGGGGGAUGAGAGCCCAGAGGAUGAGGAUGCCCUGACCACAGGGUGUCUGACUUAAACAGGUAUAAAGUGCAUGUGAGAUUAAGCUUGAAGGUCUCAAGGCAGUUAGUGGUGUGAGG